rnacentral:rRNA from 1 species
CUUAAAUAAAAUUUAUUAUACCUGCUCAAUGAAAUUUUAAAUAGCCAUUUUGCUAAGGUAGCAUAAUAAUUUGUUUUUUAAUUGAAAAAUAGUAUGAAUGGUUUUAUAAAAUAAAAGCUAUAAAAAAUUAAUAUUAAAAUUUUUAUUUUUAGUGAAAAUACUAAAAAACUAUUAUUAGACAAAAAGACCCUAUGAAACUGUAAAUAAAAAAUUAUAUUAUAUUUAAUAAAAUAAAUUUAUUUUUUGGGGUAAAAAAUAAUUAUUUUAUUUUAUUUUUAUUAAUAUUAUCCUUUUUGAAUUAAAAUAAAGUUCCUCUAGGGAUAACAGCAUAAUAAUUAUAAAAGUUYGUAUUAAAAUAAUUGUUUAUGACCUCGAUGUUGAAUUAAGAAUUUUAUUAGGUGUAGAAGUUUAAUAAUUUAGUCUGUUCGACUAUUUAAUC